CCUAACACAUGCAAGUCGAGCGGAAACGAUGGGAGCUUGCUCCCAGGCGUCGAGCGGCGGACGGGUGAGUAACACGUGGGAAUCUGCCCAUUAGUGGGGGAUAACUCGGGGAAACUCGAGCUAAUACCGCAUAAUCCCUACGGGGGAAAGCAGGGGAUCUUCGGACCUUGCGCUGAUGGAUGAGCCCGCGUCGGAUUAGCUUGUUGGUGGGGUAAUGGCCCACCAAGGCGACGAUCCGUAACUGGUCUGAGAGGAUGGCCAGUCACACCGGGACUGAGACACGGCCCGGACUCCUACGGGAGGCAGCAGUGGGGAAUCUUGGACAAUGGGCGCAAGCCUGAUCCAGCCAUGCCGCGUGUGUGAAGAAGGCCUUCGGGUUGUAAAGCACUUUCAGUAGGGAGGAAGGCUUUGGGUUAAUACCCUGGAGUACUUGACGUUACCUACAGAAGAAGCACCGGCUAAUUUCGUGCCAGCAGCCGCGGUAAUACGAAAGGUGCGAGCGUUAAUCGGAAUUACUGGGCGUAAAGCGCGCGUAGGCGGUGUGUUAAGUCGGAUGUGAAAGCCCAGGGCUCAACCUUGGAAUUGCAUCCGAUACUGGCACGCUAGAGUGCAGUAGAGGGAGGUGGAAUUUCCGGUGUAGCGGUGAAAUGCGUAGAGAUCGGAAGGAACACCAGUGGCGAAGGCGGCCUCCUGGACUGACACUGACGCUGAGGUGCGAUAAG
rnacentral:rRNA from 1 species